rnacentral:tRNA from 2 species
GCCCGGAUGGCGGAAUAGGUAGACGCGCUGGUCUCAAAAACCAGUAGUAGUAAUGCUGUGCCGGUUCGAUUCCGGCUCCGGGUA